rnacentral:rRNA from 1 species
GUGCCAGCAGCCGCGGUAAUACGUAGGGGGCGAGCGUUGUCCGGAUUUACUGGGCGUAAAGCGCGUGUAGGCGGCUUCUUAAGUCGGGUGUGAAAGCCCGGGGCUCAACCCCGGGAUGCCGCCCGAGACUGGGAGGCUUGAGGUCGGAAGAGGGGAGUGGAAUUCCAGGUGUAGCGGUGAAAUGCGUAGAGAUCUGGAGGAACACCCGUGGCGAAGGCGGCUCCCUGGUCCGAUUCUGACGCUGAGACGCGAAAGCGCGGGGAGCGAACGGGAUUAGAUACCCCCGUAGUCC